rnacentral:rRNA from 1 species
AUAGUCUAAGGCUUCCUCUUAGAUCUAGUCUGCCCACUGAAUAUUUAAAUGGCCGCAGAACUUUAACUGUGCAAAGGUAGCGUGAUCACUUGUCUUUUAAAUGGAGACUGUAUGAAUGGCCACACGUGGUUUAGCUGUCUCCUUGGGAUUAUAUUGAAUUUUUCUGGUAGGUGAAAAAGCCUACGGUUGGAAAAAAGACGAGAAGACCCUAAGAGCUUUAAUGAAAAAGAGCUAUGCCUUUUAAAUUUUUGUUGGGGCAACAGGAGAACAGGAAACUUCUCUCCCGAACCUGCUAUCAUUGAUAGAGGGAAUAAGCUACCUUAGGGAUAACAGCAUAAUUUUUUUAAAAGUUUGUGACCUCGAUGUUGGACUAGGUAAAAAAAAAUCCCAGAAGGAUUUUUUCAGGCUCUGUUCGAGCAU